rfam:Mus musculus chromosome 2, GRC primary reference assembly.
UCUACCCCAAAAGGCUUUACAUGUGUAGCUGCUGUGUCAGUGUGCAUCAAUAGGUGGCAGAGAGGAGAGAGGCUGUGUCCUAACCUAUGAACAAUUGAAUAAA